AGUGAACGCUGGCGGUAGGCCUAACACAUGCAAGUCGAACGGCAGCACAGUAAGAGCUUGCUCUUACGGGUGGCGAGUGGCGGACGGGUGAGGAAUACAUCGGAAUCUACUUUUUCGUGGGGGAUAACGUAGGGAAACUUACGCUAAUACCGCAUACGACCUACGGGUGAAAGCAGGGGAUCUUCGGACCUUGCGCGAUUGAAUGAGCCGAUGUCGGAUUAGCUAGUUGGCGGGGUAAAGGCCCACCAAGGCGACGAUCCGUAGCUGGUCUGAGAGGAUGCUCAGCCACACUGGAACUGAGACACGGUCCAGACUCCUACGGGAGGCAGCAGUGGGGAAUAUUGGACAAUGGGCGCAAGCCUGAUCCAGCCAUACCGCGUGGGUGAAGAAGGCCUUCGGGUUUUAAAGCCCUUUUGUUGGGAAAGAAAAGCAGCAGGUUAAUACCCCGCUGUUCUGACGGUACCCAAAGAAUAAGCACCGGCUAACUUCGUG
rnacentral:rRNA from 1 species